rnacentral:rRNA from 1 species
GACGAACGCUGGCGGCGUGCUUAACACAUGCAAGUCGAACGGAAAGGCCCUGCUUUUGUGGGGUGCUCGAGUGGCGAACGGGUGAGUAACACGUGAGUAACCUGCCCUUGACUUUGGGAUAACUUCAGGAAACUGGGGCUAAUACCGGAUAGGAGCUCCUGCUGCAUGGUGGGGGUUGGAAAGUUUCGGCGGUUGGGGAUGGACUCGCGGCUUAUCAGCUUGUUGGUGGGGUAGUGGCUUACCAAGGCUUUGACGGGUAGCCGGCCUGAGAGGGUGACCGGCCACAUGGGUACUGAGGUACGGCCCAGACUCCUACGGGAGGCAGCAGUGGGGAAUAUUGCACAAUGGGCGGAAGCCUGAUGCAGCAACGCAGCGUGCGGGAUGACGGCCUUCGGGUUGUAAACCGCUUUCGCCUGUGACGAAGCGUGAGUGACGGUAAUGGGUAAAGAAGCACCGGCUAACUACGUG